UAGCUCAUAGUUGCACCGUUCCAUAUGGAGGACUGGUCUCCUUUUUCAUUGCCUAAUGAGCUCUUCCAUCUGGCUGUUUGAGUUGUGUUCUUCGUAGUAAAACUUUAAUAAUGACAAGAACGAGUCACAGCCAGCAACCAUGAGAGUAAAACUCUGAGUCUUCCUCCAGAUCAAGCAGUCCAUCCAUGCAGACCUCACAGGGCAAGCUCAGGACUAUGGGAGAGGGAUGCCCUCGGAGUCAGGCUGCCUUGUAUCUGCCUACCUUCCAUGUGUUGUUUCUUAGCCCUACUCCAUGUCACCACUGUGACUGCUGAAGGUGGUGGUGAGGGUGUGGUGAUUUGCUCUUUCCCUGAAGGCUUGGGAAUAGCUAUACAUCCACUGGAGAAAGAGACACCUUAGGAACCCCAAAAUGAUGAUUGUCGAGAUUUUUACAGCUACUCUGUGGUUUUAAAAGCCAUGUUCUCACAUAACACCCAGCGUUUUAUUUACAUCACAUUA